rnacentral:rRNA from 1 species
UACGGAGGGGACAAGUGUUACUCGGAAUUAUUGGGCGUAAAGGGCUUUUAGGCUGUUUUUAAAGUUAAAGAUGAAAGUUUGAUAAAAGUUAUCAAAAGUGUUUUUAAUACUUAAAGACUAGGGUAAAGCAGAGGAUAGUAGUAUUCCUAAAGUAGAGGUGGAAUUUUAAGAUAUUAGGAGGACUAUUAUUAGGCGAAGGCAACUAUCUAGGCUUUUACUGACGCUGAAAGGCGAAAGCAUGGGGAGCAAAUAGG